UACGUAGGGCGCAAGCGUUGUCCGGAAUUAUUGGGCGUAAAGAGCUCGUAGGCGGCCUGUUACGUCUGCUGUGAAAUCCCGGGGCUUAACCCCGGGCGUGCAGUGGAUACGGGCAGGCUGGAGGCAGGCAGGGGAGAACGGAAUUCCCGGUGUAGCGGUGAAAUGCGCAGAGUAUCGGAAGGAACACCUGUGGCGAAAGCGGCUCACUGGACCAUUACUGACGCUGAGGCACGAAAGCUAGGGGAGCAAACAGG
rnacentral:rRNA from 1 species